rnacentral:rRNA from 1 species
AUACGUAGGGGGCGAGCGUUGUCCGGAAUGAUUGGGCGUAAAGGGCGCGUAGGCGGCGCGGUAAGUCUGGAGUGAAAGUCCUGCUUUCAAGGUGGGAAUUGCUUUGGAUACUGCCGCGCUUGAGUGCAGGAGAGGUUAUCGGAAUUCCCGGUGUAGCGGUGAAAUGCGUAGAGAUCGGGAGGAACACCAGUGGCGAAGGCGGGUAACUGGACUGCAACUGACGCUGAGGCGCGAAAGUGUGGGGAGCAAACAGGAUUAGAUACCCUGGUAGUCCACACUGUAAACGAUGAAUGCUAGGUGUAAGAGGUAUCGACCCCUUUUGUGCCGGAGUCAACACAAUAAGCAUUCCGCCUGAGGAGUACGGCCGUAAGGUUGAAACUCAAAUGAAUUGACGGGG